rnacentral:rRNA from 1 species
CCUACGGGUGGCAGCAGUGAGGAAUAUUGGUCAAUGGACGAGAGUCUGAACCAGCAAAGUAGCGUGAAGGAUGACUGCCCUAUGGGUUGUAAACUUCUUUUAUUUGGGAAUAAAAUGUUCCACGUGUGGGAUUUUGUAUGUACCAUAUGAAUAAGGAUCGGCUAACUCCGUGCCAGCAGCUGCGGUAAUACGGAGGAUCCGAGCGUUAUCCGGAUUUAUUGGGUUUAAAGGGAGCGUAGGUGGAUUGUUAAGUCAGUUGUGAAAGUUUUCGGCUCAACCGUAAAAUUGCAGUUGAAACUGGCAGUCUUGAGUACAGUGGAGGUGGGCGGAAUUCGUGGUGUAGCGGUGAAAUGCUUAGAUAUCACGAAGAACACCGAUGGCGAAGGCAGUUCACUGGACUGCAACUGACACUGAGGCUCGAAAGUGUGGGUAUCAAACAGGAUUAGAUACCCCGGUAGUC